UACGUAGGUGGCAAGCGUUAUCCGGAUUUAUUGGGUGUAAAGGGCGUGUAGGCGGGAAUGCAAGUCAGAUGUGAAAACUAUGGGCUCAACCCAUAGCCUGCAUUUGAAACUGAGUAGCUAGAGUGCAGGAGAGGUAAGCGGAAUUCCUAGUGUAGCGGUGAAAUGCGUAGAUAUUAGGAGGAACACCAGUGGCGAAGGCGGCUUACUGGACUGUAACUGACGUUGAGGCUCGAAAGCGUGGGGAGCAAACAGG
rnacentral:rRNA from 1 species